AUAUAGAUAGAUAGAUAGAUAGAUAGAUAGAUAGAUAGAUAGAUAGAUACAAGGCAAUGUACUGUUUUCAAUUUUACCUUCAUUUGAAAACAGUAGAUUUUCUUGUAUUCAUAUCCAUUUUUAGAGUGUAAGCAGGUAUUUGCGAUGUAAAGCAGUACUGUGAUUUUAUUGGUUCCACAUUUUCAUAGUUGUGUCUUAAAUCAAUAAAACCCCAAGUUGUUUGGUUUUCUGUCAUAUUUCACAAAGAAGCACUGCUCACACUAAGAAGUUGAGAUUUACUGUAAAGGACAAUGACAAGGAAAAACACAAAAUAAAGUGCCCUGUGUGAAUGUCUCUAGAUUGCUUUGAAUUUUAACACAAACAUCUAUACAAUUUGUUACUUUCACAGCAGUGAAUCUAUUAUGACUAUUUAAUGCCUGCUGGCUCUUAAGUGUUACGGCUAAAGGAAAAGGGUCAUUUUAUUUGUGAUUUUUAAAAUAUUUCAAUUGUUAAUUUUAAAUAUAAAUUAAAUAAAUCACAUUAUCAUUUUAUUAUUAUUUACAUUAUUAUUGCUAUUAUUUAACUGGUGUUAAAAAGGACCGACAAGACACUGUGUGCUUUGUAAGGGGUAGUUGACGAAUAGGCAGUUUAAAGAAAAAACAACUAACAAAGUCUAUUUAAUUUAUUUAUGCAGCGCCAAAUCACAAUAACAGUUGCCUCAGGGUAUUUUAUAUUGUAAGGUAGUCCUUACAAUAAUACAACAGAGAAAACCCCAACAAUUAUAUGAUCCCCUAUGAGCAAGUGCUUUAGUGACAGUGGGAAGGAAAACAUCCCUUUUAACAGGAACAAAAACCCCAAAUUUUAUAAAUGUGUUUAUAUAUGGAAUUUGACACGAAAUUUAAAAUCAAGUCAGAUUUUAUAAUAACAAGCCCAUAUGAAACCCAAAUACAUACAUUUAGAAAUGGCUGGGGGCCACACAUACACAGAGGAAAGCUAUGGCCAGUCAGCAGGUUCAAACCCAGGACCUUCUUCCUGUGAGGCCACAGUGCUAACCACUAUACCAUUCACACCAACCACAUUAGAAAAAAACCGAAUUUUUCACACAGUAUUUUUUUUCUUUUUUUUUUGUGAAUUCACAAUUAAAAUAAGCAGCAGCAGAAUGAAUAAAUGGCCUGGGCUUCUUCAUGUUGGCAGUAUUUCUCCUUCAGGACUUCAGAUGUGUUUGCUCUGUUGAGUUGAACCAUCUGCUGUGUGUUUUCACUUUUGUGUGUUUCCCUGGAAAAGAUCAUAUAAAUUAUAUUUAAUAUAAAAUUCAAGCACACCUAUGAAUACACACAAUGAGAAUAAGUUGUUGUUCUUGGGUAUAAUGGCUGUUUGUCAGAUUCAUUUCCAUGUUACUCUAACAGCAGCGGAUGUCAGCAGUAUUUAAAGGUCUUUAUUUUGCUGCAGUUUCUUACUUUGUUGUCCUUCUGGGGGCUCUGUUGGAGGGGCUCUGUAGGAGGGAACCCAAAAUCACUUUCCACUGGCCUAAUGGUGCCAUUCCACUGAUGGGAUUAAAAAGGAAGUCAGCCACACUUUAUGUUAAUGUGAGUCAGAUGAUAAAUGCAUCUUCAUCCUCUUGUAUUUCAACACUUUUCACGUGUCAGUCAUUGCUUCAUGAAACAUACCUGCGCAACAACUUUAUUUUCUGCGGUUUCCUCUUGUGGCUAAAAUAAGAGCACAUUUGAACUUUAAUGAGGAAACAGGUUCCAAUGUUUGUAAUCAUGUGUUUGUUUAUUCCUGCAAGGUCGUCGACUUUGGACUUCAAAUAAAACAGAAACAUAAUCAAAAAGCUAACCUCUCCCUUAGAAAUAGCAGCAGUUUGAUACAUGAGCACACUUUACAAUUGAAAACUACAAUUAUAUAAUAAAAAACCCGUAACAAAGACAUUUUUACUUUGAAUAAUUAAAGUAAGAAUUCUACUCAUAUUUGAGCAGCACUGCUUAUAUUUGUAAAAAUCUAAUUUGAUUUUAAGUUUCACCUAAACAGAUUAAAACAUGAAACACUCAAAGUUCACGCACCACUGUUGAGUUGGACGUCCCGUUUGUACCUCCCAUUGGCCUCAUAUGUAAAUAUCCAGCCUAAAAAAUAUAUUUAAAGCAGCUUUAGUUAUAACGUGUUCACUUCCAUUUGGCAGAUCAUAUAAAGGACUUUUUUGUCUUAAAACUUCCAAUGCUUAACAGAAUAAGCCUAAAAUAAUCAUUUUCUGUCACUUAACUGACACAUCAUGAUCAAACAAACAGACUUAUACCAAUUUAUCAUCUAAAAAAUAGAAGAUAUUGAGAUCCAAAAGCAAGCAGAGAUUACACAUUUGUUUAAUUAAUUAUAUGUAUUUUAAUUAUUAAGAUUGCAGGAAUGAUUAAGCUGUGUAUUUGUUUGCAGUAUUGAGUAACAAAGCAAUUUAUUGCUUACACUCAUGCUGUCUGCAACUCAAUUAGCUUAAUAAUAUAUUAAUAUUAUUAAUAGACAUUUAAACUGAGUAAAAACUUUGAAUGGGCAUAAUUGAUUUUGCAAUGAUAUAAAAAUGAUUGUAUUUUCAUUACCUUACAGAACAGUGGCAUUUAGUAUUUUUUAUUUUUCCUCACCUCUGCAAAUGAAAAGUCUGUCAAAGGCAGAUCUGUCAGUGCUGCCAGAAUAAUUCCCACCAUAAGCAGUGUGAGUCCCCUCAUCUUAAAACAAAUCAGCCUCCUGAGUGCCCGAUGUCUGCUUUGCAGUCCCAGUAAGAGGAGUUUGAAUUUAUGGCUUCACUUCUAGGUUAAAGUCCAACUCUGAGUUUAUUUUGUGUUAUUUUCCUCGCCUUCCCUCGUGACGCUUUCUAUGUCAAGUUUGAGUUUGU
ensembl:lncRNA